rnacentral:rRNA from 1 species
CAGUAGCCGCGGUAAUACAGAGGGUGCGAGCGUUAAUCGGAUUUACUGGGCGUAAAGCGUGCGUAGGCGGCUUCUUAAGUCGGAUGUGAAAUCCCUGAGCUUAACUUAGGAAUUGCAUUCGAUACUGGGAAGCUAGAGUAUGGGAGAGGAUGGUAGAAUUCCAGGUGUAGCGGUGAAAUGCGUAGAGAUCUGGAGGAAUACCGAUGGCGAAGGCAGCCAUCUGGCCUAAUACUGACGCUCAGGUGCGAAAGCGUGGGGAGCAAACAGGAUUAGAUACCCCAGUAGUCCCUGUCUCUUAUAC